rnacentral:lncRNA from 1 species
GACACAGGGUCGUAGGCUUUCCCACAAUGCAGCCGCUAACAAAACAAGGCUGUCCCAAGCCCCUGGUAACAGAAUCAUCCAUCCCUACACCAACAAGGCUGGGAGGGCACCAGAAUCUACACAUGGUGUGCGCCCAGGCGGACAUCGACGGAUUCCUGCUGGGAGACCCAAAGUUCUUACGAGUUCCUCCGAAGCAAAAACCUGCCAGCAAGGCCUAUGGAGGGUCCAUGGGUGCCAGAGGUGUUCAUGACAGCAGCCAGCAUGUUUUCCCUAUUGGGGAGCAGAAAAUCUUUGUAAAAGUAUUGAAGGCACAGACCAGACGCAG